ensembl:lncRNA
GUAGGUGCACAACCUGCAACCAUACCUGUUUGAGCCAUGAGCGCAGCUAGCUCCAGAAUCAGCCUACAGGGCAGAGGCUAUGGUUGAGCAGGACUGAGCAGGAAGUGAGCUACUGAGUGUGUUCCACCAAGCCCAACCGCAGACCUGAAACAGAGGCGGUCACAGCCAUGUCGUACCCGCAACCAACAUCAAUAGCCUUUCCAUCUCGUCAAGGACAUCUUAACCACAGUUGAUACCUCAUUUGUUUUUACAUGACCUCAAGCGGUGAGUGGGACAGUGAAAUAGUCAUUUGAAUAAGUGUAUUUGCCG